rnacentral:misc_RNA from 1 species
GGCUCUGCCCUCUCUCUGCGGGGAAAUUCCGCAUCCGAUCAUCAUCAGGAAACACGCACACUUUCACACGCACUAGGGUCGCUUGUUGCACACGUUCACCGGACCCCUUCAUCCCCCUCAUCCUCUACCCCUAUCCCCACCCUUGCUGCCUUGAUCCCUGGUCUCCCUCGCUCCGGAUCACGCGCGCGCGCGCAAACACACACACACACACACACACGUAUAUAUGCAUGUAUGUAUACAUCGUGUGACGUAUGCCGGCUGUGCGCAGACUGUUGAGGCUCUUCGAGCUCGAUGAGACAGACGGUAAGAUAACCGCGCUUGACAGCUAUGGCACCAACACGCACGUGGGCACCAGCUGCGGGCAGCUGGUACGUCUCUCCAUCUCAUCCUUGCCGUCGACUCGAUCUCGGACCGCGGCAAGCGUUUUAGUUGCACCGGAAGAGGCGACUGCAAUCGGCGCUACGCUUCCUUCGGGAGAAGCUGGUGCUGCUGCCCCAGCCUCCGUCUCCACAGACGAGAGUGCCGUCUUCACAACGGUUACGCGCCGCUGCGCCGUCUCCGCUUCCGGUGCCGCGGUUCAGCAGCUGCAGCACAGUCGCAGCCAGAAUCUUCUUUUUGUCCUCUGUGGCGGUCGCCUGCAGCUCCUCCACGCAGACACCUACGCAGUACUGAGCACCAUCGCAACGGAGGUCUCCUCUUUUUCUGUUGCACCGCCACUGCCCGUGGUUGGCUCCGGCGCGAGUGGCGGGGUGGGCGGCGACAGCAGUGUGGUGCCAAUGACCGGCGCUUUCCCUUCGGCGCAUACCCGCGGGCGCACAAGCCGCUUGACGGUGGGAGACGACGACAGUGCCAACCAGCACAGCCGCACCACCUCGCACCUCCGCACGUCGAGCGAAUGCAGCUACGGCAGCUCCUCCGCGCGCACCCUCCAGAGCACAUUGGCGACCAUGCCAGCCGCGAGCCCGCUGGAAAGCACCAUUAGCAAUGGUGGCAAUCUUCACCAGCACCACGGGAACGCUCACCAUCACAGCCGUGACGGCAGGGGCGGUGCCGCUCCCCUUUUCUGCUCGUCGUCUUCCUCCUCGGGGAGUAGGGCACACGUGGUGUGCGUGGCAGAGAAGCAGAAGAAAGAGCUUGCCGUGUACGUGGUUGACCGCGUAUCGACGUCGGCGUCUGGUGCGGUGAGCAGUGUGUGGCCAUCCGCAAAUGAGCCCAUCGAAGAUGGUGCUCUCGGCGGCAGUGCCGCCCUCAGCAACGCCACCGCCAGGUCUUCCCCACCGCCGCCGCGUGUCGUGCUGCGCCAGCGCUACGUGCUGCCGGAACGGGCGCAGUGUGUGCUCAUGUGUAGCCCUGCCCCCGCGAUGCGCCGCGGAACUGCUCUCCCUUUCGCCGCGUCUGCCGGCGCUCUCACUGGCGAUGGUGUGCCUCUGCUCGCCGCUAGUGUGGAGGCUGGACUGAGCGUGUGCGUCGGGAUGCGCCGCGAAGUGAGCCUGCUGUCUCUCAUCGGGGGCUCUACGUGGUGUGUUCUUCGCCUCGACGGCACCCGCCCGCCUCUGCUCUCGGUCGGGAGCGACCACAACACCUUUCUGGUUCGGACGCAGGCCCCGAACACCGUCAUGGAGGUUGGCGUGCCGCCAGCUGCAGCGAUGGCGGGGUGCGCGCAGGACGACGAUGCAGGUUGGAGGACAAGCGCCGCUGCCGCAGCGGGAGCGAACCCCAUCUUGCUGCGCACUGGUACCGCAAGGGGCGCCGCGAUCGCCUCCGCGACAACUUCUGCGGCUGCCCGAGGCUCUGCGUUGCGCAGCAAAGACGACGAUCUCGUCAUGGGCGACGUCUUCCAGGCAGACACCGUCGUUGAGUUCGUGCUGGCUCGCUUUCCUCACAUCUUUCUCUUCACGGCGCACCACUGCGACGUCGUCUCCCUCCUCGAAUACGGCGCAGGCGUUGGCGCCACCUCGAGGAGUCAGCGCGUUCCGCUGCCAGGAAUUCGCUACGGCGCGCUGCGCGGACAGGGCACAUCUGUUUGUGUGGCGAGCGACCGGACGGUGUGGAUGCUGCAGCUGAGCCCGCUGCGCGUGCAGCUAGCCGAGAUGGUGACAGGCGGUAACAGCGAAGCCGCAUUCCAGCUCUUGGCGUUCCAUCGUCGACGCGCUGCGGCGGUGGCGCGCAACGCCGCAGCUGCCGCCGACGCAGACGACGCACUGCGCGCUGUCGAGUCUGACCUGCAUUGCAUGGCCGGCUUUGCCGCACUUCACCGCGGCGAAGUUGCCGAGGCCAUUCGCUACCUGCGCAACCACGUGGACCCGCGGGAGGUGCUUCUGGCACUCCCGGACUGCAUUCCUCCGACCACAGCGACACCAGCGGCUCACGACUUGGUCUCCGGGGCCCCAGUCCAACAGGCGGGUGUCGAUGUGUACGUGCUGGACCACGUUGUCACAAUUUCUGCUGAGGACGCGUACGAUGAGCUCCUACGGCAAAGCGCCGUGUCUGCCUGCGCCGAGGCCGCUGCAGCGCCAGACACAUCAGGCACACCCCCUUCCUCGUACUGGGACAGCUGGCGCGGGCCGUGCGUUUACAACAGCUUCGGCGGCAAUGUUGCGGAGGCGUGGCGCGUGGCCUUUACUGCAAGGUCGUCGUCUUCGACAUCGAUGGGCACUGUUGAGGACUUCGUGACAAGCCGCUUCGACCUCCUCAAGGCGGAGGUCCGUGCAUGGUUCGCCGAGGAGCUUCUACAACCCGUAAGCAAUGCCGGUGCCAUCCCUAGCGCAGCCGCACCACCGACAGUGGCCACUCGCACUUCCAUCGACCGCGAGAGUAUGGAGUGCAGUGGCGCAUCGUUGCCCAUUGCUACUACGAUAACUUCGCUGCUGCCGCCGCCGACGCUGCUAGUGGCUCACCGUCGCGCGAUGGAGUACGCCUCCCUCGUGUUGGCGUGGGAGGCUAGGGACUACCGCAUGGCACAUCAGGUCGUCGCCUCGGUCAGCCAAGCCUUGCGUGUGGAGGAUUGUGCUGACAUGCUGCGACAUCUUCGCGAGUACCGCUUGCUUGCCGUCCUGCAGUUUAGGACGGGUCAGGGCGAGGCCUGCCUCUCGACACUCAGGAACAUGGUGAGCGUGUCUGCCGUGCUGCAGCUACGCCACGGCCAUGCGGCAGCUCAGACAACUCCCGUUGCAUCUCAGCUGAGUCACUGGCGUCAGUGCAUGGCGACGCUGACGGCACAGCGCAGGUGCAACGGCGUUGCGACACCGCAGCCCACGUGUGGCUGCGGACUGCUGAUGCUGCCGUCUCUAGCGGCGGUGGCGCGCGUGGCUCACACCCUUUUCGACAUCGAAGUCCCCUUCAAUCUUGCGAGGGAUGAUUCAUCGAGAGAGGCACUGGUGCGCGGCAUUAUCUCCUACUACGAAACGCACCACUCACGCGUUGCCCCGGCCAGCGCUGCUGCUGCAGAGCACGGCGAGGCCAGCUACUGUGAACUUCGCUUUUCGGUGUGCGGCACACACUCAUCAAGCCUCUUGUCCUUUCCGCAUACAGGGCCGCUGCUGUCGACGGUGGUCAAUGCAGCCGCACCGGCGCCGGUGCCUCCGCACGCCGCAGUGCAGAGCCACUGUGAAGCGGCUACUGAACCCGGCUCUACCGCGGCCCGUCGCACCGUUGUCCGCGCUGUGCCGUCGGCUCUCACGGCGUUCUUUUACCUGGUGGAGAAACUCGAUGUCGUUGGCGUAAAGCAGCUCCUGAGCCGCCAUCCGAGCUUAGCUCAGCUGAGGGAUGAGGAGGGUGGCACUGCUUUGCACGUCGCCAUGUCGCAGCUUGACCUUGUCGGCCCAGCUCGCACGUGUGAUGCUCACCUCCCUGACUCACCGGCGCCGGCGAUGUCGUCGCUGCAGCUCCUCUGCUCCUUGAACGGGCUGCUCGUGCACUUCGGUUGCCCUGUUGGCUUGCUCAAUCGCUAUGGAUGGAGCUGUCUGGACGUGGCCGCCGUCGCGUGCGCCGGCAAUACGACGGCUUUCGACAUUGUAACCGCAGCGCUGCUGGCCGCCGUCGAAGUGCGUGCGGUAGCCUGACACCGACUGCGCCGCAUGUGAUUUGUCCACGUGCGUACGGGCGUCCGCGCGCGCGCUUGCUGCGGCCCAUUCGCCACCGCAACGCUCGUGCUCUAUCGGCGCGGCUGCGAAGCGCAGCGAAAGGCCCCCCUCUUUCUCUCUCUCGCUUCCCGACUCUCUGGCGUGAUCCAUGUGAUCUUGCGUCGGCGGGCGUGGGGUGGCAGCGAAUGCUGCGGCGGCCGCUCUCCGUAUCUCUCCCCUCGCGCCCAUCACGUUGCCCAUCCAUGUUUUUCUCUUCGUCUCUCGCAUACGGAUGCUCUCCUGCCCUGUCCGGGCGUCUCCUCUGUCGCCGUGCUCACCUCGUCCUUUCCUUUCUCUGUCUCGCUUCUCUUCCCCCCUCACAUAC